CGUAGGGGGCAAGCGUUGUCCGGAUUUAUUGGGCGUAAAGCGCGUGUAGGCGGCCACGCAGGUCCGUUGUGAAAACUCGAGGCUCAACCUCGAGACGUCGAUGGAAACCGUGUGGCUAGAGUCCGGAAGAGGAGUGUGGAAUUCCCGGUGUAGCGGUGAAAUGCGCAGAUAUCGGGAAGAACACCCAUGGCGAAGGCAGCACUCUGGGACGGUACUGACGCUGAGACGCGAAAGCGUGGGGAGCGAACAGGAUUAGAUACCCUGGUAGUCCACGCCGUAAACGAUGGACGCUAGGUGUGGGUGGUGUCGACUCCAUCCGUGCCGAAGCUAACGCAUUAAGCAUCCCGCCUGGGGAGUACGGCCGCAAGGCUA
rnacentral:rRNA from 1 species